AUACCCGGCCGUCGGGGCAA
rnacentral:snRNA from 1 species